CCUAUUUUACUUGCUCUAAAACCCGUGCAACUAUUCAUGGUCUGAAAGGAUUACUGCCAUUCUUCUGAACUGUUAUGGUAAGUAGAGUGGAUCCUCAUUAAACCUUGGUAUGUGCAGGCUCUUGUAUGGGCAUCUGUUACGUCCAGUCGGCGACCUCAUCGCCGACCACAUCGAGACCAUAAUGGGAGCCCAUCAGUGCGACUCCAACAUUCGAUUUGCGUCGUCUAUGCAUUCUUGGCCAAUUUCAAACCUCUAAAAGCGUUCCAUGGUGAUACCGAUUUGCUUUCCCCAAGAAUUGUUGUUGGACAGUUGAUGAUAAUCCUCCCCCUUCACCACUAAAUUCUGCAAUUAAAGCUUUUGUUGAUCUUAUUCUGAAGCCCAUUGAAAAUGGUUUAAAGAUGUGGCCACACCGGUUUGUGAGAUUAAACCUUGGAUAGGCGCAUUUAUACCUUUUAAGCACUAGCUUAUUGUUCUACAUGCAUGCCUUUGUCAUUCAGCUGUCUCUGUUUACAUUCAAUAAUUGAGUCAUUAACCUGGGUUGGACAUUCCUGAAUAAUGCAACCAUGCUUGCAAAUAAAGGUUGUGGCUGUAUAUCACAAACUUAGUAGCCUGCGAGAAAGUGUGAUUAGUUCUUUAUUAGGUGUUUCACGUGCAUUUCUAUCGCUUUCCUGCAUGGUAGGUGUUGAUUGUGUCUGUAGCCUUUGAGGGGCAUGAAUCUAAUUCUUCAGAGAUUAUCAUUUAUAUUAGAUAUCUUUGGCCAGGCUUCACCAUUGGCAAAAUUCAGUCGUCACAAGGUCUAUUAUACAGCGCAUUUUGUAAUUCCAAUGCAAUUAUUAGCUCAUAUGAGUUAGGUUUCUUUCAGUUUAAUAUUCCAGUUACCAUGAAAGAAACAGUAGCAAAAUAUACCAUGAUCCUGAACUAUCAUACAGACUGAAGUGCAGUUCUUGUAUUGUGUGGACGAUGGAGCUUCACAGUUAGUGAGUUGCAAGCAAAAGAUCCAAAAAUAGAGCCUAACCAUUAAGGCCCCGGACUGGCUUGUUCCUGACCUAAAAGUACUCUCCAUUCCCAGUAUGUUCUCUUAUCUUAAAUGGGUGUGGCAAAAACAAGUAUUAAGAGUCGUUGGCUACUGCCUGUGGGCUUAUCAAAUUGCCAUUUGUAGAAUUGCAUCACU